rnacentral:lncRNA from 1 species
CUUAAAAUGUUUCAGCUGCAUUACAUUGGGUUACGCAGACUUUACUGACUUAAUGUUUCUCCUUUUUCUAAUUCAGGUGUCAUCAGGUAUGGAGCAGAGACCAUGGAUAUGGGGCUUUGUCCAAGGUUCAAUCAUAAAAGCAUGAUGUCUGCAACCCCAGUCUGAAGUCACCAAGGGGUCCCAAAGUCCCUUCUGAUUCUGGACCCCAGAACAGAGUGCUGAUCAUCAGACUAUCAUGAUUUGUUGUAUUAUAAGCACCGCAGUUACAGUUCUCUUUUCACUGUUGAUGACCAUUGAGUCACCUUCCAAAGUAUGCAGAAAAAUAAGCAGUAAUGCUGCGUGUGUGAACGAAGAUGAAAGAAAAAUGUUGCUGGUUUUGUCCCUGGAGAUCACAUUUCUUAUUUGUUGCAAAAAUGCUUCUUUUAGCAUCGAUCAUCUCAGCCUUUAUUGUGUAGACAAUUCUGUACAUUUAAAGGAU